rnacentral:piRNA from 2 species
UUCAUCAGUCUUGAAGAAGAUGGAAAUACU